rnacentral:rRNA from 1 species
GCAGGUCUUAGUGUUGGCCAAGAACGACUUGUGUUCUUGCCAAAAGUGGGCUGUGAGCGGAUUGUGUUCAUAGCAAAGUGAGGGUCCUUUGUAUAUUUUCGAAAUUAAUACAAGGGUUGGGUAUUUUCCCGUAUUGGCUUUGUGUUCCUACUGAUUUUAUGAUUUGCUGCCUAAAAUUUUAUUAAUGCCAAACUUGCUGAAAUUUGGCUAAGUGCGAAGGAAGGCUGAGUCAAGUGCGGGACUUGACUGCUACGCGGGUGUGACUUUUGACUGACCAAAAACGCCCCCGUGACACCUACCAUGGUGGUGAUGGGUGACGGAGAAUUAGGGUUCGAUUCCGGAGAGGGAGCCUGAGAAACGGCUACCACAUCCAAGGAAGGCAGC